UACGAAGGGGGCUAGCGUUGUUCGGAAUUACUGGGCGUAAAGCGCGUGUAGGCUGUUUGGAAAGUUAGGCGUGAAAGCCCUGGGCUUAACCUGGGAAUUGCGCUUAAAACUUCCAAACUUGAGUGCGGUAGGGGGCAGUAGAAUUCCCGGUGUAGAGGUGAAAUUCGUAGAUAUCGGGAGGAAUACCAAUGGCGAAGGCAGCUGCCUGGGCCGCAACUGACGCUGAGACGCGAAAGCGUGGGGAUCAAACAGG
rnacentral:rRNA from 1 species